rnacentral:misc_RNA from 1 species
GGAAGGAUCAUUGCCAAAACAAAAAACCUUUUAAGAGGUGAGAUAAAAAGAGUCAUGAUGCCAAUGGUGUCUUGGUUUUUUUUGUCUUUCCUCUUGAAAUUCCCCAAAUUGUGUGAACCUUAAAAAAAAGAGUUUAGUUGUGUGUAGAGAGAGGGGGUGGAGAAGAAGAAAAUUUGAGAGGAGGAACGUCUUCCUUUCACAACUUUUUUAGUCUUUUCUCUUCUCUUUUUCACGACUUGCUCUUUUUUUGUUUUUAUAACAAAACCCAAUGUCUUUCAUUUUAUUUUCUUGUAUUACGAUACGUGUGUGUGCUAUAUAUAUACUCAUGACUUUAGUCUACGUCUAGUUUAGAUGUAGGUUUUGGGAAUGGUUGUUGCGCUCACACACUCUAUCAAACCAAAUUAUACAACUUUUAACAAUGGAUCUCUUGGCUCUCGCAACGAUGAAGAACGCAGCGAAAUGCGAUACGUCAUGUGAAUUGCAUAACGUGAAUCAUUGAAUUUUCGAACGCAAAUGGCACCUUUGACUUAUACUCGAAGGUAUGCCUGUUUGAGUAUCCGUUUUCCUACCUGUCAAAAAAAAAGGAUAGUUUAUUCUCUUUUUUUUGGAGUUGAGUAUUUCACAUGUUCCUUUCUCCUCGUUUCCUUCUCUUUUCUAAUUUUAGAAACGUGUAGGUAAAGUGGAGUAGAAGAAGGUGUGAUACUUUGAUUGGAGACAAACAGUGUCUUUUUUUAGAAAUUUCUUGAAGAGAGAAAAGAGAGGGGGAGAAACACAUGUAUAAGAGAGAGAAAAAAACCCAAGGAAAAAGGAAAGGUUACUAUGACCUUGCCUUUUUUUCUUUUGUUGCUUCUCUCCCCUAUGCCAAUUUCUCUGUCUCUCUUUUUCUCUUGACAACUCUUCUUCUGUGUUUCUUGAAAAAGGAACGAACAAGAAAAAGGAAAAAAGUGUCUUUGUAGUUCUUAUCCAAAUUCAAUUCCUUUCCAUUGUGUGGUGACGUGGUGUAAUUAUAUAACACGAGAAAUCACUUUGGAGGAAGGAUAAAAAAACGCCAUGACCUUCAGUUCUUGUUUUAGAAGACGAGGAAAGGAAGGAGAAAGGAAGAGUCAAGGAGUUGUCGUUGUUGCUGCUCUGUAUUUGUUGGGGUGUGUUGAGUGAGAGACAAAAAGGAAAGAAGGGUUUCUUUCUGUGUGUUUGUAAAAUGCAAACCUCAGGAGGAGGCAAACCUUUCUUUCUGUCUCUUAGUCACAUCCACCUCUAUACCACUUAUACAGAGUAACAACAACGGCAACUACUCGAUUUCUUUCUUUCCUUUUUUUCUCUUUAUUUGAGAAAAAAGGAACUUUGUUUCUUUCUUUUUUGAAAUUGUUUUUAUCUUCUCACAACAGAAAGAGAAAAAAGAGACUGAGAAAAGCAAUUUGCUCUCUCAACCUCCUCUUCUUCUCAUUCAAAAGAGAUGAAAAAGAAUUUUACUGUAAUAACCGCGUGUGAGAACCAUGUCAACUUACGACGACAUAUCUCUAUUCUAAUAUAUAAUAUAUCACAUUUGGAUCUCAAAUCAGGCAAGACUACCCGCUGAACUUAAGCAUAUUACUAAGCGGAGGAAAAGAAACUAACAAGGAUUCCCUCAGUAGCGGCGAGUGAAGUGGGAAAAGCUCAAAUUUAAAAUCUUUAGAUUUCUAAAAAAAUUUAAAGAGUUGUAAUCUAGAGAAGGUAGUAUCCUGUCAACCCAUUCAAGUAGAAGUUCUUUGGAACAAGACAUCGUAGAGGGUGAGAAUCCCGUCUGUGACUUGAAUGAACCAAAUUAAUUAGUGUUGACUUUAUGGUGAUCUAUCUUCAAAGAGUCGGGUUGCUUGGGAAUGCAGCCCAAAAUGGGUGGUAAAUUUCAUCUAAAGCUAAAUAAUGGCGAGAGACCGAUAGCGAACAAGUACCGUGAGGGAAAGAUGAAAAGAACUUUGAAGAGAGAGUUAAAAGUACGUGAAAUUGUUAAAAGGGAAGCGAUUGAAACCAGUGCUGUGUCACUUGAAACAUCAAUGAAGUCAUGUCUAGUUAGUGUUUAAGGAUUCUAUCGAGUGCAGUAUGAACUUUCAUGCCACUCCUAAGGUGGUAUCUCGACUCAUUUGACGCUAUCUUCAUGCACUGUUUCAAGGUUUUGUAAAAGAAUUUAGACAGGUCAACCUCAGUUUCUUCGUGUCGGAAAAAUAUUUAAAGGAAGGUACCAUUCACUUUUCUAAAGUGGAUGAACUUAUAGCUUUUAAACUUUUUGAAUACGAUGCAAGAGACUGAACCAAACUUCUCUCACACUUAUAGACCUUCCUAGGAUUAGGUUCUUGAUGUGCUUACGUGAAACAGGCUAUCCUUCGGGAUCCUGAUUCAUGAUAAGACACUGUCAAGACACGAAUUCUUUUGAAGUUGUUUUAUAUUUUUGAAACCAAGUGUUGACAAAAUGGUUUUAACCGACCCGUCUUGAAACACGGACCAAGGAGUCUAACAUUUAUGCGAGUAAUCGAGUGUUUAAACUUGAAUGCGCAAUGAAAGUGAACGUGGGUGGGAUCUUUUCGUCUCUCGAAAGAGAGAUCAAAGUGCACCAUCGACCGAUCGGAAUACUUUCUCACGAAAGUUGCACGAAUCGAGUUAGAGCAUAACUGUUGGGACCCGAAAGAUGGUGAACUAUGCCUGAGUAGGGUGAAGCCAGAGGAAACUCUGGUGGAGGCUCGUAGCGAUACUGACGUGCAAAUCGUUCGUCAAACUUGGGUAUAGGGGCGAAAGACUAAUCGAACCAUCUAGUAGCUGGUUCCCUC